GACAGAGUUGUCCCGCUUGGUUCGGAAUUACUGGGCUUAAAGGGCGAGUAGGCGGUGGAACAAGUCUGAGGUGGAAUCCUAUGGCUUAACCAUAGAACUGCCUUAGAAACUGUUUUACUUGAGUCAGUGAGGGGAGGGCGGAAUUCCUGGUGUAGCGGUGAAAUGCGUAGAUAUCAGGAGGAAGGCCUGUGGCGAAAGCGGCCCUCUGGCACUGUACUGACGCUGAGGCGCGAAAGCGUGGGGAGCAAACAGGAUGAGAUAACCGCGUAGUCC
rnacentral:rRNA from 1 species